CUCACGAUUAGUAAAAAAAUUCUUUGGAUCCAAGAUCUAAUGCACACAAUGGGGAGAUUAAAAAAAAAUCAUCCAUCCAUUUUCCAUAACGCUUCUCCUACUCACGGAUGCAGGGGAGCCUGGGGCCUAAGCCCCCAACCCCGGAGGUAUGAGGCAACCAUUCUAACCCCUAAUCCACCAUGCCCCCCAUGUCUCUCGGCAAUGAUUAUGAUUAUGUUAAUGAUUAUUUUAUUGCAUGUUAUACUUUUAUCCAUUCAUAGUUACAUUUAGUGUUGUGGCAUGUCUGUGAAAGCUAGUUCCUGUUCCAGAGGCUAAAACAUAGCAUGUGUCAACAAGUAUCGCUUUAUGUGGCCACCCAACACUAGCUCUUGGCUGCUCCAGUCAAAAUGUUGUGGACAAUUUCUUGUGAAAAGGGCCCAUUGGCACAGCUCCGUGGCAUUUCAUUUGACACUGAUGUUUUUGGGGUGAUGACAUAAAAGCUGGGCAAGAGAACCAAAUCAAUAAUACUUGACUAAUAUACAAAUAUACCAAAGUACUACUUAUAUAUAGUAAUGAAUUAUUCAAGUGUUUUCCUUCCAUGAUGUACAACUGUAGUGAUCAAACUUGACAUUAAAUAUGGACAUAAACGUGUAUUUAGCAGCUAAAUCCACAACUGACCCAAAAUAGACGGUAUCUUUUUUACGGGCUAGUCUACUAAUGAACAGCCAUUUCCGGUCAGUUAAUGCUCAGUAGGCUUUUUUUUUAAAUGAAUGCGGCAAAACCACUGCAGUGACAGUUUUCACACGUACACCAGACAAAUUCCUCUGAAUACAGUAUAUCUUAUUCUUUAAAACUGUUUUAUUACACUGAUCUUCUAAAUUCACCCGUUAACUGAUGUCAGACUUAGAAAGUGGUUCAACAAGGACUCUGGAUAGUGUGAACAUCAACAGAGAGGAUCACAACCAAUCAGAGCAGAGUGUGUGUGAAGUUCUGGGUAAAGGUAUCCAGUAAUGUGAGGUCGUCUCCCCAGGCACACUAAAGGGCUGCUAGAUUUACGCUCGCUUAAUUAUGAAUGAGUGAGGCAUGAGAGAAGCGAAGCAGAUCUCGUUAAAUCUGUCCUCUCGGCCUGCUACAGUGACUAAACUCACGCACUUUAUACGAUACAUUUUCCCUGAGAAGAGCGGGAAAGUGGGCGUGGCUUUGACCUCCGACGUUUAUGUAGCUCUGCUCAUACGAGUGAGUCUAGAAUGUCGUGCACAAAAGCAAAACGCGCGUUCAUACAAGCCGGUGAAUCAGAUUACGUCUGAAAAUCUCACUCUGCAUGUGUGUGUGUGUGUGUGUGUGUGUGUGUGUGGGAGGUCCUUAAUAUCAAGAAGCACCUAAAGUCUGCAUCGACAGAUCCAUUUCAGUUUAACGCACUGCAGAUGUGUGGGUGUGGGGUUGUGCUUUUUUGGCUGUUCUUUUAUCAACAAACUCCAGAGUCCACCAGUUUCCCAGGAAUCUCGAGAAUUUAGGUCUAAAGAUGUGUCCCGGUAUAUUUCCAGCAAAGAACAGAGCCUGGGAAAACCACCAAUUGACUCACACUGAGAGAAAGAAAAGAGUCAGUUCUGUGUGAAGUCUGGCUUCUAAUAGAUAAGACAUUCCUCUGCAAAUACACACACACACACACACACACAAAGGAGAUGAGUAAUUGAAGAAUCAGUUGGUUUGCAAGGCCCUAAAUGGAUGGACGAGGGAUAUGAGCUGUGCCGUGUGUGUGUGUGUGUGUGUGUGUGUGUGUGUGUGUGUGUGUGUGUGACAGUUUGCACUUCCUCUCUAAACCUUUGUGAUAGAUGAGGUUUGAGUGUGUUUUUCUGCUGCUCCACUGACUCACGAGAGCUUCACGCCCCAGUUACACACACGCAUACACCCCGUAAACUGCGUUUUAUUCUAGCAGUGAUCCUUAAACUGUUCUCCCCGUUGCAGGCAACCCCAGAAUUCUGUUUACUGAAUGACACAUCUGUAAAUGUUUCAGCAACAAAAUGGACUAAAUUCACUCUCACGGAGAAGUCCAAUUAUUAAAAAAAGGAAUGCUAGCUGACAGUCAUAGUAUUUGUGUUAGUAAUUGUGUUUGUUAUUUGCUAGAAAUGAUUUCAGGAUUGAAAAAGAAAAAAAGAAAAAACACACACACACAUUAAAAAAAAACACCACAUAGCUAACAGAACAUGAUUUUGGCUUACCUCAGGAAAAACCGUGAACUAGCAGCAGAAGUUGUUGGGUUCCUGAAUACAACUAAACUAUUUACUUUUGUUAGUUGCUAAUUGCUGUUUUCCACAAACAUCACUAGUGACAUAACCAACGCUAGUCGUAUUGUGUAUAGUUAGCCACUAGCAAGUUAGCUACCUCACCUAAGCUAGUUGUGAGGCUACAUUAGCUAGUUGUGAGGCUACAUAAGCUAGUUGUGAGGCUACAUUAGCUAGUUGUGAGGCUACAUUAGCGAGUUGUGCGGCUACAUAAGCUAGUUGUGAGGCUACAUUAGCUAGUUGUGAGGCUACAUUAGCUAGUUGUGCGGCUACAUAAGCUAGUUGUGAGGCUACAUUAGCUAGUUGUGAGGCUACAUUAGCUAGUUGUGAGGCUACAUUAGCGAGUUGUGAGGCUACAUAAGCUAGUUGUGAGGCUACAUUAGCUAGUUGUGAGGCUACAUUAGCUAGUUGUGAGGCUACAUAAGCUAGUUGUGAGGCUACAUUAGUUAGUUGUGAGGCUACAUUAGCUAGUUGUGAGGCUAUAUUAGCUAGUUGUGAGGCUAUAUUAGCUAGUUGUGAG
ensembl:lncRNA